ACGCUCACCUGGCAGGGGAGACACCAUGAUCAUGAAGGUGGUUUUCCCAGGGUUAGGUCCAUGCAUUGAAUUCCAGGUGCACUGACACACGCAAUUUCCCCAGAUGCGGGAAACCAGACUGCAUAAUCGGUGGGGAUUGUGUUUGCACUUUUCCCUG